GGGGAAUAUUGCACAAUGGGGGAAACCCUGAUGCAGCGACGCCGCGUGAGUGAAGAAGUAUUUCGGUAUGUAAAGCUCUAUCAGCAGGGACGAAUAAAUGACGGUACCUGACUAAGAAGCCCCGGCUAACUACGUGCCAGCAGCCGCGGUAAUACGUAGGGGCAAGCGUUAUCCGGAUUUACUGGGUGUAAAGGGAGCGUAGACGGUGACGUAAGUCAGAUGUGAAAGCCCAGGGCUCAACUCUGGGACUGCAUUUGAAACUAUGUUGCUAGAGUGCAGGAGAGGUAAGUGGAAUUCCUAGUGUAGCGGUGAAAUGCGUAGAUAUUAGGAGGAACACCAGUGGCGAAGGCGGCUUACUGGACUGUAACUGACGUUGAGGCUCGAAAGCGUGGGGAGCAAAC
rnacentral:rRNA from 1 species